AUUGAGCGCUGGCGACAGGCCUAACACAUGCAAGUCGAACGGUAGCACAGAGGAGCUUGCUCCUUGGGUGACGAGUGGCGGACGGGUGAGUAAUGUCUGGGAAACUGCCCGAUGGAGGGGGAUAACUACUGGAAACGGUAGCUAAUACCGCAUAACGUCGCAAGACCAAAGAGGGGGACCUUCGGGCCUCUUGCCAUCGGAUGUGCCCAGAUGGGAUUAGCUAGUAGGUGGGGUAACGGCUCACCUAGGCGACGAUCCCUAGCUGGGCUGGGAGGAUGGCCAGCCACACUGGAACUGAGACACGGUCCAGACUCCUACGGGAGGCAGCAGUGGGGAAUAUUGCACAAUGGGCGCAAGCCUGAUGCAGCCAUGCCGCGUGUAUGAAGAAGGCCUUCGGGUUGUAAAGUACUUUCAGCGGGGAGGAAGGGGUUAAGGUUAAUAACCUUAGCCAUUGACGUUACCCGCAGAAGAAGCACCGGCUAACUUCGUGCCAGCAGCCGCGGUAA
rnacentral:rRNA from 1 species